rnacentral:rRNA from 1 species
UACGGAGGGUGCAAGCGUUAUCCGGAUUCACUGGGUUUAAAGGGUGUGUAGGCGGGCGUUUAAGUCAGUGGUGAAAUCUCCGAGCUUAACUUGGAAACUGCCAUUGAUACUAUUCGUCUUGAAUUCUGCUGAGGUGGGCGGAAUAUGUCAUGUAGCGGUGAAAUGCUUAGAUAUGACAUAGAACACCGAUUGCGAAGGCAGCUUACUACAGGGACAUUGACACUGAGGCACGAAAGCGUGGGGAGCGAACAGG